AGUUUGAUCCUGGCUCAGAGUGAACGCUAGCGGCGUGGUUAAGACAUGCAAGUCGAACGAUGAAGCCCAGCUUGCUGGGCGGAUUAGUGGCAUACGGGUGCGUAACACGUGAGCAACCUGCCUUGAAGUGGGGAAUAGCCCGGGGAAACCCGGAUUAAUACCGCAUGUGGUCUCUUUUCGCAUGAAAAGACGACUAAAGUUUGUAAUGACUCUUCAAGAGGGGCUCGCGGCCUAUCAGCUUGUUGGUGAGGUAAAGGCUCACCAAGGCAAAGACGGGUAGCUGGUCUGAGAGGAUGAUCAGCCACACUGGAACUGAGAUACGGUCCAGACACCUACGGGUGGCAGCAGUUUCGAGUCAUUCACAAUGGGGGAAACCCUGAUGGUGCAACGCCGCGUGGAGGAUGACGGCCUUCGGGUUGUAAACUCCUGUCACCAAGGAACAAACGGCAGGUUCAUAGCCUGUCCUGAGUUAACUUGGAGAGGAAGAGGUGGCUAACUCCGUGCCAGCAGCCGCGGUAAUACGGAGACCUCGAGCGUUACUCGGAUUCACUGGGCGUAAAGAGUAUGUAGGCGGUUUGGUAUGUCAGGUGUGAAAGCCCGAAGCUCAGCUUCGGAAUUGCGCCUGAAACUACCGGACUUGAGGCCUGGAGAGGGGAGUGGAAUUCCUGGUGUAGCGGUGAAAUGCGUAGAUAUCAGGAGGAACACCAAUGGCGAAGGCAGCUCCCUGGACAGGUUCUGACGCUGAGAUACGAAAGCGUGGGUAGCGAAAGGGAUUAGAUACCCCUGUAGUCCACGCCGUAAACGUUGUACACUAGGUUUCGGAGGGCCUACCCCUUCGGAGCUCAAGCUAACGCGAUAAGUGUACCGCCU
rnacentral:rRNA from 1 species